GCUGGGUGUGGUGGUGUGCCUGUAGAGCCAGCUACUAGGGAAGCUGAGGCAGGAGGAUCGCUUGAGCCCAGGAAUUCAAGAACAGCUUGGGCAACUUAGUGAGAUCCUUCU
rnacentral:sRNA from 1 species